CCAGCCCUGAGGCCAGUUCAGACUGAAGACGACAAGGGAAGGUGUGCAGCCCAGGGUGAAGGCAGCUGUGUCAUGAGGUUGGGAGAGGCGGAAGAGCCUAGCCCGCUCCUGCCCUAUGGGUGAACUGACACCAAUCACUGAGAACGGAUGUGAGUGGCCGAAGUCACUGGUCAGUAGACUCUCCGAAGCUCUACCUGUUGACAUCCUCUCAGUAAGAAUGGACGGUCCUACUUUCACCUGGAGGAUCUGUCACUGACAAUGAGAUGCUGCCUCAACUUCCAAUGCAGGUGCAGGGUUUCAGAUAAGAGAUUUUAGGGACACAACAUUCUACAUUUGUCGUUAAAGAAUCGGGCCUUGGGUCCAAUUCCCAGUCCAGAUUUGAGACUGAACUCUGUGCCUUCAUCAUACUCCCAUUCCUAGAGGUGCUGGAUGUCUUAUCCUGGUGCCCCCACCAACUAGGAGGCUGACUCUUCCCUCCUAAUCCAUCCUCCCACCCCAGUCCCAACCCUCCCCAUUACUGUCUCCUCCGUGCUUCCUUCCUCAUACCUCCCAUCCAGGUGCCCUUCCCACUGAUUACCUCUCCCCCGCACCCCCUUUCGUGCUCUUUUCUAAGGGGCCCCCGUUUCCUCGGCGCCCCGCAGCGGAACCCGAGCGCGGGAGAAGCGGGGCGACGCCGGACCGGCCGCGGGCGAGUGGUCCUCCCGGAAGUGCGCCUCGCCUCAGGGUCCCCCAGCACCCCCAGCACUGGGCCGAGAACCCACCUGCCUCACUGCGGCCGCGGCCAUAGUCGGUGUGGCGGGUAACUGCCCGCCCAGAGCGCAGCCUGAGAAAAAGCCGUUCCAGCCCCGCCCCACUGACGCCCUUUCGUGGGAUGGCCACCAGCCGGCACCCCAGAUGGACCAGGCCUUCCCAGAUGUGGGGCGCCUGCGGGGAGCUAGGCCCUGCUGCAGAGCGCAUGCGCUAGAACCGGCAGGGCAAGGCGGCCGAAACACACCCUCCUCCUAGGCCCUCCCCAGCCCCCACGCCAUGCAACGUCUUUGAAAAAAUGCCUUUUAAUAGGUUCAGCACUAUUGUGGAGCGCUAUCAAGGAUAAGCAGCCCGAGCAAGAGAAGGGAAAGGCAGGGAGCAGAAAUCUUUACAUAUCACAAUUCUUGCUAUAAAUGUCGGUGGGCACAGGUAUUAUGUAAAAAUGCACAGGAACAGGGAAAGGACUCUGAAGAGGGUGGCAGGUAGGGAUGAAGGGGGAGGUUCACUGUUUGGAUACUUCUCUGUUUGAAUAUAGGUUUUCUUUCCAACGAGAA